UGGCUUAGAUGGUAAAGUGUCUGCCUACAAUGCAGGAGACCCGGGUUCGAUCCCUGG
rnacentral:tRNA from 1 species